GUGACAUCGGUUUAUUUCUCCUUGCUCAGACUGUGACAUCGUCCCGGGUUGUAUUUGGAAGUCGCACACUGUAGCGCUACACAAAGAUGAUCCCUGUAUAUGUCGUGCUCUUAUCCAUGGUCACAGCUGUACAAGCUGAAACCAAAUGCUACGAAAACCUUGGAUGUGUCACAAAUGACGGACCAUAUGGAGACUUACUGCUGAGACCAUUAUCUAUGUUUCCUGAUUCUCCAAAAACUAUUAACACCCGAUUCCUUCUGUUCACUGUGAAUAAUACCGACCACUAUCAGGUUGUUAGCGCAUAUAAUCUCUCCUCAUUGCGGGAAUCAAAUUAUAACUGCAGCAGAAAGACGAUAUAUAUUGUGCAUGGAUUUAUUGAGAAAGGCACUGAUCCCUGGCUGGUUGGUCUGUG